AGCGAACGCUAGCGGCGGGCCUAACACAUGCAAGUCGAGCGGAGAUCUUCGGGUCUCAGCGGCGAACGGGUGAGUAACACGUAGGUAAUGUAUCCUUUGGUGGGGAAUAACCGUGGGAAACCAUGGCUAAUACCGCAUAUCGUGCUUCGGCAUGAAAGCCUUCGGGCGCCAGUUGAGCAGCCUGCGUCCCAUUAUUUAGUCCUAGUUGGUGGGGUAAUGGCCUACCAAGGGUACGAUGGGUAGCUGGUCUGAGAGGAUGAUCAGCCACACUGGAACUGAGACACGGUCCAGACUCCUACGGGUGGCUG
rnacentral:rRNA from 1 species